CAACUACUCCCUCUGUCCCAAAUUUCUUGUCUUAGAUUUGUCUAGAUACGGAUGUAUCUAAUACUAAAAUGUGACUUGAUACAUCCGUAUCUAGNCUAGACAAAUCUAAGACAAGAAUUUUGGGACGGAGGGAGUACUUU
rnacentral:pre_miRNA from 1 species